rnacentral:rRNA from 1 species
CGACCGGCGCACGGGUGAGUAACGCGUAUGCAACUUACCUAUCAGAGGGGGAUAGCCCGGCGAAAGUCGGAUUAAUACCCCAUGAAACAGGGGUCCCGCAUGGGAAUAUUUGUUAAAGAUUCAUCGCUGAUAGAUAGGCAUGCGUUCCAUUAGGCAGUUGGCGGGGUAACGGCCCACCUAGUCAACGAUGGAUAGGGGUUCUGAGAGGAAGGUCCCCCACAUUGGAACUGAGACACGGUCCAA